CAGAGAAAGAGGUUUGAUUGUGGUCGCGGACGCGUGCUGCCUCAUUGUAAAGUCGCGAGUUGGCUUAACCAAGUGAAGCGCAAAAUCAAACGGGUUUUUCCUUACAUAUUUUGAAAAGCUCGACAGGAGAUCACUGGAAGAUACUGAGAUUAUUGUAAUUGUUUGUUGUUUAAUAUACUAUGUUCAGAUUUAAAUUUACUGCUUAUUUCGGUGUGAUUUUAAGACUAAAGUCUUGUCUCGAUUGCACGACGCUAUUGAGACAAAAGGGAAGGUGUUUUUGAUCAAGCAAUGCUGUCCAUUCUGUCUUGAGGCAAGAAAAUGUUAAACAGAAGAAGGGAAGACUGUAGGGUUCAGGUCGAGGGGAGAGGAAAUUACUAGAGAAAUCCUGUGUUGAAAAUCCGCUGCUUUUCUGAAGGUGAAAGCGCCUUCCCAUGAUGCUUUUAACUGCCGUGGUCAUAUUCUGUCUGCUUAGCAGUCUGCCGCUCAAGUCAGCACAAAUUGUGGGAGAACCUUCUGUAAUUGAUGGAAGUAAAUUUCCUGUGCGGCUGCCAGACACACCUGGACAAUCGUACCUCAGCCUGGUCUUGUUAGCGCUGACAGCGGGCCUUUCGGGCAGUGUUUACAUCUGUGUGAUGCGAUACAUCUGCACCGGCUGCUGCAAGCCCAUUGUCGUGGGUCCGCAUACUGAAAACCUCACCGGAGAAGUGUAACAAGACUGGUGUGUCUAGUUUGGCUUAAAUAUGACAAAAUCCAGGAAUCACGGUCAAUUCCAAUUCAGUUCAAUCAGUUUAAGUAAUGAAUUGAAAAAUUACCCACCAAAUUCUAUGGGCAUUUAUCAAUUAUUUAUAAUUGCAAUGGAAUUCCUCGCAAGAAUAUAAUUGACUGGACUGAAAUGGAAUCAAAAUUAAGGUGCUUUAUCAAUUUUAUAAUUAUUUCCCAAAGAUUUUCAUUUCAUGUAGCCCGCGAGCAGUUAUGUGACACUUAAUAUAAUAGUAAUAACCCCAUACCACACCAUUCAUGGAGACCUAAAUCAAAUGCUGUGACUUGCAUACCACUUUGACUGGUGAUUAAUUUCAGUUGUGUUUUAUGAUGAUUAUUACUGACAAUUGUUGAAUUGUUUCAGUAAUUGUGAUUUACACAAGGCUACCUGCAGUUGUACAUUUCCGUUGUGCAUGAUAACACACUCUGUACACGCUCUGUAACAUGCAUCUAAGUGUCUAACUAAGUAAGUGGUAAAUAAUUUAUUAUCAAUGUGAAUUGCCGUGGGUGCAAGUAAAACAAUGUCAUUACAAAAGGCAAAUCUCUACAUAUUGUAAAUAUAUAUUUUGAUGUUGAUUGAAGAAAAGAGUGAACUGUCUCUGAAUUAAUAGCCAUUGUAUGUUAUGUAAAGAGCAAUCAUUGUGUAGACCCAACUUAUAAAUGCAUUUAAUAUAUUUGUAAGUUGAUAAAUUAACAACAAUUAUAAUUAUAUAACUUAAUUCCGGUGUUCUAAAAACGGAAUAUGGUAUUAAAUAUUUUGAGUUCUCUUUUGUGUUUUACCUACACGUGUUUAAAUAAGUAUGAAAAAAAAGAGUAUCUAUGAUGAAAGGGACUGGGCUGAGUAAAUCAUGAGGAGCAAUGUGGAAUCUGCCACAUCUUCUUUUAGAAAUGAUGUGACUUCCUGCUCAUAUGGAGUUCAGCUUCUGUUGCCAUGGUCUUCCAGUUGCCAUGGAGAUUGUUUUGAUGUUGUGCCACUAGAUGGGGCUAUCUUCUUUCCAUUCUUAUGUGCAGUGACUGUUAAUGCUCUGGGAUUCAGGUUGAAGAACCGACUGAUUCAAAUUACAACAUUUUUAUCCCUAGGAAUGUAGCAUAAGAUACAUAUGUGUUUGGAAACACUUUCAGAUAUUCAUAAAUGUAAUUUUAUAAUAAAUAUCUGCCAGUUCCAAUUUGUGAA